rnacentral:rRNA from 1 species
CCUUCGGGUUGUAAACCUCUUUUAGUAGGGAAGAAGCGAAAGUGACGGGACCUGCAAAAAAAGCACCGGCAAACUACGUGCCACCAGCCGCGGUAAUACGUAGGGUGCAAGCGUUGUCCGGAAUUAUUGGGCGUAAAGAGCUCGGAGGCGGUUUGUCGCGUCUGCUGUGAAAUCCCGAGCUCAACCUCGGGCUUGCAGUGGGUACGGGCAGACUAUAGUGCGGUAAGGGAGAUUGGAAUUCCUGGUGUAGCGGUGGAAUGCACAUAUAUCAGGAGGAACACCGAUGGCGAAGGCAUAUCUCUGGACCGURACUGACGCUGAGGA